AGCACAUUCCUUAGAUCCAUCAGUAAGACUUUUUGUCUGCUGCCUUUUACGGGUGGUGAUUGCUGUUGAAUGAGUCAUAGGUGUGCAAAAGUAAUAUACCUCCAAAAAUAGGUUAAAGUUUCAAGCAAUUUAUUACUUGUACUACACCUACAAUGGGGACAUU